rnacentral:rRNA from 1 species
UACGGAGGGUGCAAGCGUUAUCCGGCUUCACUGGGUUUAAAGGGUGCGUAGGCGUACAGGUCAGUCAGUGGUGUAAUCUCCGAGCUUAACUCGGAAACUGCCGUUGAUACUAUUUGUCUUGAAUACUGUGGAGGUAAGCGGAAUAUGUCAUGUAGCGGUGAAAUGCUUAGAUAUGACAUAGAACACCAAUUGCGAAGGCAGCUUACUACACAGCGAUGGACGCUGAGGCACGAAAGCGUGGGGAUCAAACAGG